rnacentral:rRNA from 1 species
AGAUGUAAGUUUUCGUCACGAAGCUGGUUUUCAGCAGAUGUGGAUCCAUUAGAUACCCUGGUAGUCCAUGCCGUAAACGAUGUCUACUAGCCGUUGGGGCCUUUGAGGCUUUAGUGGCGCAGCUAACGCGAUAAGUAGACCGCCUGGGGAGUACGGUCGCAAGACUAAAACUCAAAUGAAUUGACGGGGGCCCGCACAAGCGGUGGAGCAUGUGGUUUAAUUCGAUGCAACGCGAAGAACCUUACCUGGUCUUGACAUAGUAAGAACUUUCCAGAGAUGGAUUGGUGCCUUCGGGAACUUACAUACAGGUGCUGCAUGGCUGUCGUCAGCUCGUGUCGUGAGAUGUUGGGUUAAGUCCCGCAACGAGCGCAACCCUUUUCCUUAUUUGCCAGCGGGUUAAGCCGGGAACUUUAAGGAUACUGCCAGUGACAAACUGGAGGAAGGCGGGGACGACGUCAAGUCAUCAUGGCCCUUACGACCAGGGCUACACACGUGCUACAAUGGUCGGUACAAAGGGUUGCUACCUAGCGAUAGGAUGCUAAUCUCAAAAAGCCGAUCGUAGUCCGGAUUGGAGUCUGCAACUCGACUCCAU